ACGGAUGAUGACUUAUUCUUCUUCAAACAACUGAAUCUCUAUGUUGAACACUUAAUAUAUCAAGCUCAACAGUCUGACA
rnacentral:snoRNA from 1 species